rnacentral:lncRNA from 1 species
CAUCGGCACUGACAUGAGACUUUGUAUAAGACCAUAUCCGGGAUAUGGCAAUGAUAUGUGGAUCCAUGUAAGACCAUGUAUGGGACAUGGAUUUGGUAUUCUAUUUAGUGUAUGAUAAUUCUGAACAUCCUUUAGCAUCUCGAAUGCUCAACAGGUAAUGUAAUGGAUGAUGUGAUGAAAGCCCUAAAAAGAGCAUGUUAAAGAAGGUAUGACUAUAUACUUUAUUACGAGUUGGUAUAGGUAUGUACACUAAGCUUAUGAGUAAUGCCUUGAUAUGUG